CAGCUACGUCAGCCUGAGGUGUCCUUAGGCAGAACAGAAAGUGAGAAUCAGAGCAGUAUCUCAUUUCUGAAAACCUGGAUUGUAGCUUUCCCUGGGCUGACUGUCAAAGGAGGUGGUUUUAAAAAGCAAGCCAAACAGGUUUCCAUCCUUUAGGAAGACCCUGGAACGUGCCAGUUGAUUCUGACAAUUUCUCAUGAACAGAAACACCUAGGAAGGGAGAACUGGUGAGUCUUUUCAAGAGGAGGAAGUCCCUCAAAAGGGGCUGUGUUUCGCAAACGGCGCCCCAAAAGGGCUGAAAUACUUCGAUCUGGAAGAAAAAGACUCAGGCACUGAGGGAAGGGGAGGGUGCACAUCUGGAGUAAUUUCAAGGCUUUUUCCGUGUUAUCUGAUGUGGCAACAAGUAGAGAUUUGUUCGUUUUAUUA
rnacentral:lncRNA from 1 species